rnacentral:lncRNA from 1 species
CUUAAUCUCCUUUUCUAGUGGGGACUGGGAACCUACUGCAAUCCGAGGGUCUUCAGUAUUUCUGGCCCAGGCCAAU